rnacentral:rRNA from 1 species
GCACAACGCGAAGAACCUUACCAAGGCUUGACAUGCACGGGAAGCCACCAGAGAUGGUGGUCUCUUUGGACACUCGUGCACAGGUGGUGCAUGGUUGUCGUCAGCUCGUGUCGUGAGAUGUUGGGUUAAGUCCCGCAACGAGCGCAACCCUCGUCCCAUGUUGCCAGCGGGUUAUGCCGGGGACUCAUGGGAGACUGCCGGGGUCAACUCGGAGGAAGGUGGGGAUGACGUCAAAUCAUCAUGCCCCUUAUGUCUUGGGCUUCACGCAUGCUACAAUGGCCGGUACAAAGGGCUGCGAUACCGUAAGGUGGAGCGAAUCCCAAAAAGCCGGUCUCAGUUCGGAUUGGGGUCUGCAACUCGACCCCAUGAAGUCGGAGUCGCUAGUAAUCGCAGAUCAGCAACGCUGCGGUGAAUACGUUCCCGGGUCUUGUACACACCG